rnacentral:rRNA from 1 species
GACUCUCGACAACGGAUAUCUCGGCUCUCGCAUCGAUAAAGAACGUAGUGAAAUGCGAUACUUGGUGUGAAUUGCAGAAUCCCGUGAACCAUCGAGUCUUUGAACGCAAGUUGCGCCCGAAGCCGUUAGGCCGAGGGCACGUCUGCCUGGGCGUC